rnacentral:rRNA from 4 species
AGACCCGAAACCCGGUGAUCUAGCCAUGGGCAGGUUGAAGGUUGGGUAACACUAACUGGAGGACCGAACCGACUAAUGUUGAAAAAUUAGCGGAUGACCUGUGGCUGGGGGUGAAAGGCCAAUCAAACCGGGAGAUAGCUGGUUCUCCCCGAAAGCUAUUUAGGUAGCGCCUCGUGAAUUCAUCUCCGGGGGUAGAGCACUGUUUCGGCUAGGGGGCCAUCCCGGCUUACCAACCCGAUGCAAACUGCGAAUACCGGAGAAUGUUAUCACGGGAGACACACGGCGGGUGCUAACGUCCGUCGUGAAGAGGGAAACAACCCAGACCGCCAGCUAAGGUCCCAAAGUCAUGGUUAAGUGGGAAACGAUGUGGGAAGGCCCAGACAGCCAGGAUGUUGGCUUAGAAGCAGCCAUCAUUUAAAGAAAGCGUAAUAGCUCACUGGUCGAGUCGGCCUGCGCGGAAGAUGUAACGGGGCUAAACCAUGCACCGAAGCUGCGGCAGCGACGCUGAUGCGUUGUUGGGUAGGGGAGCGUUCUGUAAGCCUGUGAAGGUGGCCUGUGAGGGUUGCUGGAGGUAUCAGAAGUGCGAAUGCUGACAUAAGUAACGAUAAAGCGGGUGAAAAGCCCGCUCGCCGGAAGACCAAGGGUUCCUGUCCAACGUUAAUCGGGGCAGGGUGAGUCGACCCCUAAGGCGAGGCCGAAAGGCGUAGUCGAUGGGAAACGGGUUAAUAUUCCCGUACUUGGUGUUACUGCGAAGGGGGGACGGAGAAGGCUAUGUUGGCCGGGCGACGGUUGUCCCGGUUUAAGCGUGUAGGUGUGUGUUCCAGGUAAAUCCGGUUCACUUUAACACUGAGGCGUGAUGACGAGGCACUACGGUGCUGAAGCAACAAAUGCCCUGCUUCCAGGAAAAGCCUCUAAGCAUCAGGUAACAUCAAAUCGUACCCCAAACCGACACAGGUGGUCAGGUAGAGAAUACCAAGGCGCUUGAGAGAACUCGGGUGAAGGAACUAGGCAAAAUGGUGCCGUAACUUCGGGAGAAGGCACGCUGACACGUAGGUGAAGUGAUUUACUCAUGGAGCUGAAGUCAGUCGAAGAUACCAGCUGGCUGCAACUGUUUAUUAAAAACACAGCACUGUGCAAACACGAAAGUGGACGUAUACGGUGUGACGCCUGCCCGGUGCCGGAAGGUUAAUUGAUGGGGUCAGCGCAAGCGAAGCUCCUGAUCGAAGCCCCGGUAAACGGCGGCCGUAACUAUAACGGUCCUAAGGUAGCGAAAUUCCUUGUCGGGUAAGUUCCGACCUGCACGAAUGGCGUAAUGAUGGCCAGGCUGUCUCCACCCGAGACUCAGUGAAAUUGAACUCGCUGUGAAGAUGCAGUGUACCCGCGGCAAGACGGAAAGACCCCGUGAACCUUUACUAUAGCUUGACACUGAACAUUGAGCCUUGAUGUGUAGGAUAGGUGGGAGGCUUUGAAGUGUGGACGCCAGUCUGCAUGGAGCCGGCCUUGAAAUACCACCCUUUAAUGUUUGAUGUUCUAACGUGGACCCGUGAUCCGGGUUGCGGACAGUGUCUGGUGGGUAGUUUGACUGGGGCGGUCUCCUCCUAAAGAGUAACGGAGGAGCACGAAGGUUGGCUAAUCCUGGUCGGACAUCAGGAGGUUAGUGCAAUGGCAUAAGCCAGCUUGACUGCGAGCGUGACGGCGCGAGCAGGUGCGAAAGCAGGUCAUAGUGAUCCGGUGGUUCUGAAUGGAAGGGCCAUCGCUCAACGGAUAAAAGGUACUCCGGGGAUAACAGGCUGAUACCGCCCAAGAGUUCAUAUCGACGGCGGUGUUUGGCACCUCGAUGUCGGCUCAUCACAUCCUGGGGCUGAAGUAGGUCCCAAGGGUAUGGCUGUUCGCCAUUUAAAGUGGUACGCGAGCUGGGUUUAGAACGUCGUGAGACAGUUCGGUCCCUAUCUGCCGUGGGCGCUGGAGAACUGAGGGGGGCUGCUCCUAGUACGAGAGGACCGGAGUGGACGCAUCACUGGUGUUCGGGUUGUCAUGCCAAUGGCACUGCCCGGUAGCUAAAUGCGGAAGAGAUAAGUGCUGAAAGCAUCUAAGCACGAAACUUGCCCCGAGAUGAGUUCUCCCUGAGACUUAGAGUCUCCUGAAGGAACGUUGAAGACGACGACGUUGAUAGGCCGGGUGUGUAAGCGCAGCGAUGCGUUGAGCUAACCGGUACUAAUGAACCGUGAGGCUUAACCUUACA